rfam:Brassica napus, WGS project CCCW01000000 data, contig: 16123
AAGCCAUGAUGUGGACAUUGAGACCAAUAGCCCUUGAACCUCUUCCAGGCUUCACUAAAGCCCUCUAGGUUCUUCUGCUGAAAGCUAGAGAUCUCAUUCUUGAUCUU